rnacentral:rRNA from 1 species
ACUCCUACGGGAGGCAGCAGUGGGGAAUUUUGGACAAUGGGGGCGAACCCUGAUCCAGCAAUGCCGCGUGAGUGAAGAAGGCCCUCGGGUUGUAAAGCUCUUUUGUCAGGGAAGAAACGGUGAUCUCUAAUAUAGAUUGCUAAUGACGGUACCUGAAGAAUAAGCACCGGCUAACUACGUGCCAGCAGCCGCGGUAAUACGUAGGGGUGCAAGCGUUAAUCGGAAUUACUGGGCGUAAAGCGUGCGCAGGCGGUUUUGUAAGUCUGAUGUGAAAUCCCCGGGGCUCAACCUGGGAACUGCAUUGGAGACUGCAAGGCUAGAGUGUGUCAGAGGGGGGUAGAAUUCCACGUGUAGCAGUGAAAUGCGUAGAGAUGUGGAGGAAUACCGAUGGCGAAGGCAGCCCCCUGGGAUAACACUGACGCUCAUGCACGAAAGCGUGGGGAGCAAACAGGAUUAGAUACCCUGGUAGGAUAGCC